rnacentral:rRNA from 1 species
GAUAAUACAUAUUAAUUUACGAAGGACCUUGAGCUAACUAAUAAAAUAUACUAGUAUUAGAAUUAUAUGUUGCAAUAUAUAAACAAUAUUAUUGGUUAGGGGUGAUAGGCUUAUCAAAAUAUCCGAUAUCUUAAUGUUUAGGAAAAAUAUUAAGUAUUAAAGCAAUUUUGAAGUGGUGAGAUUUCAAAAGUUUACUAAUAUAAUUAAUUACAACAUAAAAUACCUAACGGUAAUUAUUUUAACUAAUAGUUUAUUUAACAUUAAAAUUUGUAUUAUAUACUAAACUGUGCUUUAAAUAGUGUGAGUUAUUAUUACUGUUAAUAUUAGUAUUAUAAUAAUACCAUUGAAGGAACUCGGCAAACUAUUACUCGACUGUUUAUCAAAAACAUAGCUAGGUGUAUAUAUACUUAGUUAUUUCUGCUCACUGGUAAGCUAAAUAGCCGCAGUACUCUGACUGUGCAAAGGUAGCAUAAUCAUUUGGCUUAUAAUUGAAGUCUGGCAUGAAAGAAACUACGGGUAAUUACUGUCUCCCUUGGUCACCUUGAACUUCCUUAAAGGGUGAAAAUGCCCUUUGAUAAAUAAUAGACGAGAAGACCCUAGAAAUUUUUUAUACCAUAAGAUAAUCUUAUUUCUAUUUUGUUGGGGCGACAGAAUAACAUUUAACUUGUUUUAUUUAAUAUGAACUAUAUAUUGAGCAAAAAUAAAUUACUCUAGGGAUAACAGCAUAAUUUGAUAAAGUUUGUGACCUCGAUGUUGGACUAGGGAUUUCAUUAACCAGCAGUUAAUGAAACAGGCUCUGUUCGAGCAAUUAUUCCCUACAUGAUCUGAGUUCAGACCGGC